rnacentral:lncRNA from 1 species
CUUCCAUCAUUUUUCUCUUUGCAUUUAAUCUUUUUUUUUAAUAUUAAAAAAAACGUUGUCGUUGUACACAUCAGGGGUUACAUUGUAUUAUUUCCAGCAAAACUAAUAGGGGAGGGACUAGAACAGAAAAACAAUCUUCAUUGAGUGGCAAUAACUCAUAUAUUGAAGCGUACAAUGAGGGCUCUCUCGUCUAGGUGACAACAUUUGCUGUUUCAAGUUAAUUUAAUUAUAUCUCAGACUGGUAUGAUAGUUGUCAUAAAAGCAAAAAAAAAAAAAAAGAAUGAUGAAAAAAG